rnacentral:rRNA from 1 species
AUGGAGGCCACCGUGAUUGAUCUGCCGCGGUGCUGCACUAGCAGAAUGACUGCCUCUAUGAGCCACCGGGGCCUCCUCCUGGCCGCUUCGGUGGACGGGAGGCUCAAGGUUGUGGUCUCGGAGACCCAGGUUAUAUCAAUGUGGACCAUGUUACCACCCAUCGAGGGGGAGCCGAGCUCGCCGCCGAGAUGGAUCCGGCAGGUGCUGAUAGACAAGCAGGACUGGGGCGUGCACAACUCAGUUCAGUUUGAAGGGUUCGGGCUGAGGAGUGGCACUGUCAUCUUAUAUGUCGGUAGAGUUGGCCUCAUUCGCCUCAACCUUGCCACAAAAGAGGUGGUUGUCGUCUACCACCGCAGCGAUACGGCCUACAUCUCGCAGGUUUGCCUGCACUAG